rnacentral:rRNA from 1 species
AGUGAACGCUGGCGGUAGGCCUAACACAUGCAAGUCGAACGGCAGCACCGUAAGAGCUUGCUCUUACGGGUGGCGAGUGGCGGACGGGUGAGGAAUACAUCGGAAUCUACUUUUUCGUGGGGGAUAACGUAGGGAAACUUACGCUAAUACCGCAUACGACCUACGGGUGAAAGCAGGGGAUCUUCGGACCUUGCGCGAUUGAAUGAGCCGAUGUCGGAUUAGCUAGUUGGCGGGGUAAAGGCCCACCAAGGCGACGAUCCGUAGCUGGUCUGAGAGGAUGAUCAGCCACACUGGAACUGAGACACGGUCCAGACGCCUACGGGAGGCAGCAGUGGGGAAUAUUGGACAAUGGGCGCAAGCCUGAUCCAGCCAUACCGCGUGGGUGAAGAAGGCCUUCGGGUUGUAAAGCCCUUUUGUUGGGAAAGAAAAGCAGCAGGUUAAUACCCCGCUGUUCUGACGGUACCCAAAGAAUAAGCACCGGCUAACUUCGUG